UACGUAGGGUGCGAGCGUUGUCCGGAAUUACUGGGCGUAAAGCGUGCGUAGGUGGUUCGUUGUGUCUGUGGUGAAAGCCCCGGGCUUAACCUGGGAAUGGCCAUGGAAACUGGCGAGCUGGAGUCUGGCAGAGGGGGGUGGAAUUCCGCGUGUAGCAGUGAAAUGCGUAGAGAUGCGGAGGAACACCGAUGGCGAAGGCAGCCCCCUGGGCUAAGACUGACGCUGAGGCACGAAAGCGUGGGGAGCAAACAGG
rnacentral:rRNA from 1 species